AGGUUAUUCGGAAAAUAAAUGAAACAAAAAAAGAAAAAUGUGGAAUGAAUCAUGAAUGGCCUAAGUAUGUAUCUAUAUUGACAUGUAUAAUGCAUCAAGCAUCUCAUUAGACUUUUUAUCUCUAAGGGGUAUCUGUUCCCUUAACCUCAUUUGAGGUAUUUGUUUUCCCCUCCCCCAUAUAGUCUGGAAAGACGUAAGAGGAUCGAUCCCUGUAGAUAACUGUGUAUCCUCUUAUGAGAGUGGUGACGCGAAUAUCUAUUCGGGGUCACCUUUGGCUAAGUACUAUCGUGACUAUUGAAUAUCGUAUAGAACCACUAUAGUUGGUACGGUCGUAGUCAUAGAUCAUACCAUGGUUUGGCAAGCCAAAAAUGUGCCUAAGUAAAUUGCUGUUAUCUAUAUUUAAUCUGGUCAUUCUAUAUGUGUAGUUGAAAAUCUUCAUCUGCCUUUAGAGAUAGAAGUUUUAAUGACUUUCCGAAGCAUGACAUGACAAUUUGAGCAUUUCAUGAUUCAUUUGAUUUUCUCUAUUUCUGGUAUGAU
rnacentral:lncRNA from 1 species